rnacentral:miRNA from 1 species
AACAACCUCAUCGACCGGAAGGGAUUCCUUCCGGUCGAUGAGGGUGUUUUACCUCAUCGACCGGAAGGGAUUCCUUCCAGUCGAUGGGGGUGUU